AAAUUGAAGAGUUUGAUCAUGGCUCAGAUUGAACGCUGGCGGCAGGCCUAACACAUGCAAGUCGAACGGUAACAGAAAGAAGCUUGCUUCUUUGCUGACGAGUGGCGGACGGGUGAGUAAUGUCUGGGAAACUGCCUGAUGGAGGGGGAUAACUACUGGAAACGGUAGCUAAUACCGCAUAACGUCGCAAGACCAAAGAGGGGGACCUUCGGGCCUCUUGCCAUCGGAUGUGCCCAGAUGGGAUUAGCUAGUAGGUGGGGUAACGGCUCACC
rnacentral:rRNA from 3 species